rnacentral:rRNA from 1 species
GACGAACGCUGGCGGCGUGCUUAACACAUGCAAGUCGAGCGGUAAGGCCCUUUCGGGGGUACACGAGCGGCGAACGGGUGAGUAACACGUGGGUGACCUGCCCUCAGCUCUGGGAUAAGCCUGGGAAACCGGGUCUAAUACUGGAUAUGACUCCAUGACGCAUGUUGUGGGGUGGAAAGCCUUGUGCGGCUGAGGAUGGGCCCGCGGCCUAUCAGCUUGUUGGUGGGGUGANGGCCUACCAAGGCGACGACGGGUAGCCGGCCUGAGAGGGCGACCGGCCGCACUGGGACUGAGACACGGCCCAGACUCCUACGGGAGGCAGCAGUGGGGAAUCUUGCGCAAUGGGCGAAAGCCUGACGCAGCGACGCCGCGUGAGGGAUGACGGCC